rnacentral:rRNA from 1 species
GGGUUGUAAAGUACUUUCAGCGGGGAGGAAGGGAGUAAAGUUAAUACCUUUGCUCAUUGACGUUACCCGCAGAAGAAGCACCGGCUAACUCCGUGCCAGCAGCCGCGGUAAUACGGAGGGUGCAAGCGUUAAUCGGAAUUACUGGGCGUAAAGCGCACGCAGGCGGUUUGUUAAGUCAGAUGUGAAAUCCCCGGGCUCAACCUGGGAACUGCAUCUGAUACUGGCAAG